rnacentral:rRNA from 1 species
UGGGGAAUAUUGGACAAUGGGGGCAACCCUGAUCCAGCAAUGCCGCGUGUGUGAAGAAGGUCUUCGGAUUGUAAAGCACUUUCGACGGGGACGAUGAUGACGGUACCCGUAGAAGAAGCCCCGGCUAACUUCGUGCCAGCAGCCGCGGUAAUACGAAGGGGGCUAGCGUUGCUCGGAAUGACUGGGCGUAAAGGGCGUGUAGGCGGUUUACACAGUCAGAUGUGAAAUCCCCGGGCUUAACCUGGGAGCUGCAUUUGAUACGUGUAGACUAGAGUGUGAGAGAGGGUUGUGGAAUUCCCAGUGUAGAGGUGAAAUUCGUAGAUAUUGGGAAGAACACCGGUGGCGAAGGCGGCAACCUGGCUCAUGACUGACGCUGAGGCGCGAAAGCGUGGGGAGCAAACAGGAUUAGAUACCCUGGUAGUCCACGCUGUAAACGAUGUGUGCUAGAUGUUGGGUAACUUUGUUAUUCAGUGUCGCAGUUAACGCGUUAAGCACACCGCCUGGGGAG